rnacentral:lncRNA from 1 species
UUUUAUUUUUCUGAAAUAAACAUAAAAGGCAGCCAAAGCCCUAUAGCCUCAGUUUCUUGAGAAGCCAACAGCUAUGAUGAAGCUAUUUGAUACUUAUGUUUGUUUUAUUUUAUAAUGGGACUUUAAUAGAAUACGUGAGAUAAUCUUUAUUGCCAGACUUUGCAAGAGUUUAUAUUAGUAGGAUUGUGCUUAUUUGUUUUUAUUUGUUUCUGUUGUUUUUUUUUUUAAUCUCACUUGUAUGAGAGCUUGCAUGCUUGUGAGGCUGUGUGAGUCCAUGUGUGUUUUUAAAGAAGUCAUUUUAAGAGACUUGGGAAGUGACAGAAGAAGGUUAGUUAUGGAAUGAGUCCAAACAGGAAACUACUUCCAUGCCAGGCCUUUCCUCCUCCCUCAUUGUGGUAGAUUAAUUGCAUUAAUGGUUGUAAUCCACUGACCCUCUUUGUUUCUGUGUCUCUUGCCCAGUUCUGGUCAGGGGCUGGGUGCUUGCACUUCUUCCAUUGACAUAAAAAAAGUGUUUCAAGCUAGAGGAUGAGAGAUCUAUGUGAUAGAGC